rnacentral:rRNA from 1 species
AUUGAACGCUGGCGGCAUGCCUUACACAUGCAAGUCGAACGGCAGCGCGGGGCAACCUGGCGGCGAGUGGCGAACGGGUGAGUAAUAUAUCGGAACGUACCCUGGAGUGGGGGAUAACGUAGCGAAAGUUACGCUAAUACCGCAUACGAUCUAAGGAUGAAAGUGGGGGAUCGCAAGACCUCAUGCUCCUGGAGCGGCCGAUAUCUGAUUAGCUAGUUGGUGGGGAAAGGCCUACCAAGGCAUCGAUCAGUAGCUGGUCUGAGAGGACGACCAGCCACACUGGAACUGAGACACGGUCCAGACUCCUACGGGAGGCAGCAGUGGGGAAUUUUGGACAAUGGGGGCAACCCUGAUCCAGCCAUGCCGCGUGAGUGAAGAAGGCCUGGUGUAAG